rnacentral:rRNA from 1 species
AGAGUUUGAUCAUGGCUCAGGACGAACGCUGGCGGCGUGCCUAAUACAUGCAAGUCGAGCGAGCUUGCCUAGAUGAUUUUAGUGCUUGCACUAGAUGAAACUAGAUACAAGCGAGCGGCGGACGGGCGAGUAACACGUGGGUAACCUGCCCAAGAGACUGGGAUAACACCUGGAAACAGAUGCUAAUACCGGAUAACAACACUAGACGCAUGUCUAGAGUUUGAAAGAUGGUUCUGCUAUCACUCUUGGAUGGACCUGCGGUGCAUUAGCUAGUUGGUAAGGUAACGGCUUACCAAGGCAAUGAUGCAUAGCCGAGUUGAGAGACUGAUCGGCCACAUUGGGACUGAGACACGGCCCAAACUCCUACGGGAGGCAGCAGUAGGGAAUCUUCCACAAUGGACGAAAGUCUGAUGGAGCAACGCCGCGUGAGUGAAGAAGGGUUUCGGCUCGUAAAGCUCUGUUGGUAGUGAAGAAAGAUAGAGGUAGUAACUGGCCUUUAUUUGACGGUAAUUACUUAGAAAGUCACGGCUAACUACGUGCCAGCAGCCGCGGUAAUACGUAGGUGGCAAGCGUUGUCCGGAUUUAUUGGGCGUAAAGCGAGUGCAGGCGGUUCAAUAAGUCUGAUGUGAAAGCCUUCGGCUCAACCGGAGAAUUGCAUCAGAAACUGUUGAACUUGAGUGCAGAAGAGGAGAGUGGAACUUCAUGUGUAGCGGUGGAAUGCGUAGAUAUAUGGAAGAACACCAGUGGCGAAGGCGGCUCUCUGGUCUGCAACUGACGCUGAGGCUCGAAAGCAUGGGUAGCGAACAGGAUUAGAUACCCUGGUAGUCCAUGCCGUAAACGAUGAGUGCUAAGUGUUGGGAGGUUUCCGCCUCUCAGUGCUGCAGCU